rnacentral:lncRNA from 1 species
GCGCCUUGUAGCCCAUCUGCAGGCCCAGGUACCUGUGGGCAGGAGGAGGCAGGACUGGUGAGGGAGGGGGCUCUGCAGCCCACAUCCCAGGGCCAGGACCACUGGGAAGAACCACAUCAUUCCCACGCUGGCCCGCGGAAGGUGUGGGCACCAUCCAGGCCGGGUGGAAGAUAGAAUCUGGGCACGAGCAGUCCCUGCGGCAGGCAGGAGACUGCGGAUGUAUAGAACUUGAUGUGCUGCCAGCAAAAGAGGAAACGGGGAAUCAAACAAAGCAAGACCAAAGAAAAACCCUACACUCCAGCCCAGUGUGAGUUCCUGGCCUGGUGAGUGUGUCUGUGCAUCUUUAUUUCUUUUGGGCCAGUGCCACC